rnacentral:rRNA from 1 species
CCUACGGGCGGCAGCAGUGGGGAAUAUUGCACAAUGGGCGCAAGCCUGAUGCAGCCAUGCCGCGUGUGUGAAGAAGGCCUUCGGGUUGUAAAGCACUUUCAGCGGGGAGGAAGGCGGUGAGGUUAAUAACCUCAUCGAUUGACGUUACCCGCAGAAGAAGCACCGGCUAACUCCGUGCCAGCAGCCGCGGUAAUACGGAGGGUGCAAGCGUUAAUCGGAAUUACUGGGCGUAAAGCGCACGCAGGCGGUCUGUCAAGUCGGAUGUGAAAUCCCCGGGCUCAACCUGGGAACUGCAUUCGAAACUGGCAGGCUAGAGUCUAGUAGAGGGGGGUAGAAUUCCAGGUGUAGCGGUGAAAUGCGUAGAGAUCUGGAGGAAUACCGGUGGCGAAGGCGGCCCCCUGGACAAAGACUGACGCUCAGGUGCGAAAGCGAGGGGAGCAAACAGGAUUAGAUACCCGUGUAGUC